GAUGAACGCUAGCGGCAGGCUUAACACAUGCAAGUCGGACGGCAGCACAGGUAGCAAUACUGGGUGGCGAGUGGCGCACGGGUGCGUAACGCGUAUGCAACCUACCUCUAUCUGGGAGAUAGCCCGAAGAAAUUCGGAUUAAUACCCCAUAAUAUAUGUCUUUCGCAUGUUAGACAUAUUAAAGCUUUGGCGGAUAGAGAUGGGCAUGCGUGACAUUAGCUAGUUGGUAAGGUAACGGCUUACCAAGGCUACGAUGUCUAGGGGGUCUGAGAGGAUUAUCCCCCACACUGGUACUGAGACACGGACCAGACUCCUACGGGAGGCAGCAGUGAGGAAUAUUGGACAAUGGGCGAAAGCCUGAUCCAGCCAUGCCGCGUGCAGGAAGACGGCCCUAUGGGUUGUAAACUGCUUUUAUAUGGGAAUAAACCUCCGAACGUGUUCGGAGCUGAAGGUACCAUACGAAUAAGGAUCGGCUAACUCCGUG
rnacentral:rRNA from 1 species